CGGAUUCUGGCUCAGGAUGAACGCUAGCUACAGGCUUAACACAUGCAAGUCAGGGGCAGCAUUGGGAUAGCUUGCUAUUCCAGAUGGCGACCGGCGCACGGGUGAGUAACGCGUAUCCAACCUUCCCUAUAGUAGAGAAUAGCCCGGCGAAAGUCGGAUUAAUGCUCUAUGUUGUGUUUUGAGGACAUCUGACGAACACCAAAGGUUCACCGCUAUAGGAUGGGGAUGCGUCCGAUUAGCUUGUUGGCGGGGUAACGGCCCACCAAGGCGACGAUCAGUAGGGGUUCUGAGAGGAAGGUCCCCCACAUUGGUACUGAGACACGGACCAAACUCCUACGGGAGGCAGCAGUGAGGAAUAUUGGUCAAUGGGCGAGAGCCUGAACCAGCCAAGUAGCGUGCAGGAAUGACUGCCCUAUGGGUUGUAAACUGCUUUUAUCAGGGAAUAAAGUGCGGCACGUGUGCCGUUUUGUAUGUACCUGAUGAAUAAGGACCGGCUAAUUCCGUGCCAGCCGCCGC
rnacentral:rRNA from 1 species